rnacentral:rRNA from 1 species
CCUGGUUGAUCCUGCCAGUACUCAUAUGCUUGUCACAAAGAUUAAGCCAUGCAUGUGUAAGUAUGAACUAUUUCAGAUCGCGGAAACCGCGAAUGGCUCAUUAAAUCAGUUAUAGUUUGUUUGAUGGUACGUGCUACUGGGAUAACCGUAGUAAUUCUAGAGCUAAUACGCAACAAACCCCCCGACUUCCUAAGGGAUGCAUUUAUUAGAUAAAAAAACGACGGGGGCUUUGCCCGCUACUCCGAUGAUUCAUGAUAACUCGACGGAUUGCACGGCCCUCGUGUCGUCGACGACGAUCAUUCAAAUUUCUGCCCUAUCAACUUUCGAUGGUAGGAUAGGGGCCUACCAUGGUGGUGACGGGUGACGGAGAAUUAGGGUUCGAUUCGAGAGGGAGCACGAGAAACGGCUACCACAUCCAAGGAAGGCAGCGGGCGCCGCCAAAUUACCCAAUCCCGACACACGGGAGGUAGUGACAAUAAAUAACAAUACCGGCUCUUCGAAAUCCGGUAAUUGGAAUGAGUACAAUCUAAAUCCCUUAAUGAGGAUCCAUUGGAGGGCAAGUCCGGUGCCGCCAACCGCGGUAAUUCCAGCUCCAUAGCGUAUAUUUAAAGUUGUUGCAAUUAAAAAGCUCGUAGUUGGACUUUGGGACGGGUCCAGUUUUGUCCUGCCUUCGCGGUGUGCACCGGUCGUCCCAUCCCUUCGGUCGGCGAUCGUGCGGCCUUAAUGGUCGGGUCGUGCCUCCUCCGGCCAAGUUAUUUUGAAGAAAUUAGAGUGCUCAAAGCAAGCCCACGCCUCGAUACAUUAGCAUGGGAUAACAUCAUAGGAUUUCGGUCCUAUUGUGUUGGCCUUCGGGAUCGGAGUAAUGAUUAAGAGGGACAAUCGGGGGCAUUCAGAUUUCAUAGUCGAGGUGAAAUUCUUGGAUUUAUGAAAAGAGACGAACCACUACGAAAAGCAUUUGCCAAGGAUGUUUUCAUUAAUCAAGAACGAAAGUUGGGGGCUCGAAGACGAUCGAUACCGUCCCUAGUCUCAACCAUAAACGAUGCCGACCGUGGAUCGGCGGAUGUUGUUUUUUAGGACUCCGCCGCACCUUAUGAGAAAUCAAAGUCUUUGGGUUCCGGGGAGUAUGGUCGCAAGGCUGAAACUUAAAGGAAUUGACGGAAGGGCACCACGAGGAGUGGAGCCCGUGGCUUAAUUUGACUCAACACGGGAAACUUACCAGUCCGCACAUAGCAAGGAUUGACAGACCGAGAGCUCUUUCUUGAUUCUAUAGGUGGUGGUGCAUGGUCGUUCUUAGUUGGUGGAGCGAUUUGUUUGGUUAAUUCCGAUAACUAACAAGACCUCACCGCUAACUAGCUACGCUGAGUCAUCCCUCCGCGGCCCGCUUUCUUAGAGGGACUAUGGCCGCUUUAGGCCACGAAGUUUGAGGCAAUAACAGUCCGGUGAUGCCCUUAGAUGUUCUGGGCCGACGCUACACUAAUCGAUGUAUUCAAUGAGUCUAUAGCCUUGGCCGACGGGCCCGGUAAUCUUUGAAAAUUUCAUCGUGAUGGGGAUAGAUCAUUGCAAUUGUUGGUCUUCAACGAGGAAUUCCUAGUAAGCCGAGUCAUCAGCUUCGCGUUGACUAUGUCCCCCGCCCCUUUGUACACACCACCCGGCCGCUCAUACCGAUUGAAUGGUCCGUGAAGUGUUCGAUCGAGGCGACAGGGGCGGUUCGCCGCCCGCGUCGUCGAGAAGUCCACCAACCUUAUCAUUUAGAGGAAGGAGAAGUCGUAACAAGGUUUCCGUGAGGUGAACCUCGCGGAA